UGAGGUACUUUGACCAAAUAUUUUCUGGGCGUCCUUGUAAACUUUAUUAAUAGGAUGCAUUGUUCCUGAGGAGCUAUCAUCGGUAUUUUAAAGUUCAAAGGAGGGAUAGAACAAGAAAUACCAAUUUUUCCCAUUUUUCAUGUGCCAUAGUCCGUAUAUUUGCGUUGUUAUGUGAUCCUAGUGGUAUUUGGACCGAAUUGUUUUGUGGGCAUUUUGAAAUUUAAAUUAGCUGUGAAUUGAGAAAUACCUAUUUUUCCAUUUUUCGUGUGAUCUAGUCAACAAAUUUUGGGUGAUAUGUGAUCCAUGCGGUAUUUUGGCUCAAAUAUUUAACGGGUGUUAUUUAAGAAUUUAUUAAUUGCACGUGUUGGUUUGAAGGCGUAAACUGUGGAAAUUUUUGGUUCAAAUGAGGCCUCGAAUGAGAAAUAGUGAAUUUUCCAUUUUUUUUUAUCUAUAGUCCAUGAAUUUUGGAUGAUGUGAUCCUAGUGAUUGGAUGGUAUUUUUGUGGGCAUUCAUGACGACCUAUUUAAUAGUGUACGUUGUUUUGGUGGGUCAUACUUCAACAUUUUCAAGUUCAAAUCAGAUGGCCAAACAUCGUUAUUUUCAAGUUCAAACGAAGCACAAAAAGGGAGACCAAAUUUUCCAUUUUAAAUGUGCUAUAAUCCAUGAAUUUUGGGUGAUGUUUGAUCACACUGUUUUAUUGUCGAAAUUCUUUUAUGGGAAUCCAUGUAUAUAAUGGUGUACACAUUAGUUCGCAUUGGAAAAUGUUAAAACUUUUUGAAGUUCAAUCAAGGUCGGAACGAGAAAUAUCGAUUUUUUUCUUGUG